UACGUAGGGGGCAAGCGUUGUCCGGAUUUAUUGGGCGUAAAGAGCUCGUAGGCGGCUUGGCAAGUCGGGUGUGAAAACUUCAGGCUCAACCUGGAGCGGCCACUCGAUACUGCUAUGGCUUGAGUCCGGCAGGGGAGACUGGAAUUCCUGGUGUAGCGGUGAAAUGCGCAGAUAUCAGGAGGAACACCGGUGGCGAAGGCGGGUCUCUGGGCCGAUACUGACGCUGAGGAGCGAAAGCGUGGGGAGCGAACAGG
rnacentral:rRNA from 1 species